GAUGAACGCUGGCGGCGUGCCUAAUACAUGCAAGUCGAGCGGACGGACGAGAAUCUUGCCUCUCUUAUGUUAGCGGCGGACGGGUGAGUAACACGUGGAUAACCUACCUAUAAGACUGGGAUAACUUCGGGAAACCGGAUCUAAUACCGGAUAAUAUUUUGAACCGCAUGGUUCAAAAGUGAAAGACGGUCUUGCUGUCACUUAUAGAUGUAUCCGCGCUGCAUUAGCUAGUUGGUAAGGUAACGGCUUACCAAGGCAACGAUGCAUAGCCGACCUGAGAGGAUGAUCAGCCACACUGGAACUGAGACACGGUCCAGACUCCUACGGGAGGCAGCAGUAGGGAAUCUUCCGCAAUGGGCGAAAGCCUGACGGAGCAACGCCGCGUGAGUGAAGAAGGUCUUCGGAUUGUAAAACUCUGUUAUUAGGGAAGAACAUAUGUGUAAGUAUCUGUGCACGUCUUGACGUUACCUAAUCAGAAAGCCACGGCUAACUACGUG
rnacentral:rRNA from 1 species